rnacentral:rRNA from 1 species
GGCAUUGCGGCAGCUACACAUGCAGUCGAGCGGUAGCACAGAGAGCUUGCUCUCGGGUGACGAGCGGCGGACGGGUGAGUAAUGUCUGGGAAACUGCCUGAUGGAGGGGGAUAACUACUGGAAACGGUAGCUAAUACCGCAUAACGUCGCAAGACCAAAGUGGGGGACCUUCGGGCCUCAUGCCAUCAGAUGUGCCCAGAUGGGAUUAGCUAGUAGGUGGGGUAACGGCUCACCUAGGCGACGAUCCCUAGCUGGUCUGAGAGGAUGACCAGCCACACUGGAACUGAGACACGGUCCAGACUCCUACGGGAGGCAGCAGUGGGGAAUAUUGCACAAUGGGCGCAAGCCUGAUGCAGCCAUGCCGCGUGUAUGAAGAAGGCCUUCGGGUUGUAAAGUACUUUCAGCGGGGAGGAAGGCGAUAAGGUUAAUAACCUUGUCGAUUGACGUUACCCGCAGAAGAAGCACCGGCUAACUCCGUGCCAGCAGCCGCGGUAAUACGGAGGGUGCAAGCGUUAAUCGGAAUUACUGGGCGUAAAGCGCACGCAGGCGGUCUGUCAAGUCGGAUGUGAAAUCCCCGGGCUCAACCUGGGAACUGCAUUCGAAACUGGCAGGCUAGAGUCUUGUAGAGGGGGGUAGAAUUCCAGGUGUAGCGGUGAAAUGCGUAGAGAUCUGGAGGAAUACCGGUGGCGAAGGCGGCCCCCUGGACAAAGACUGACGCUCAGGUGCGAAAGCGUGGGGAGCAAACAGGAUUAGAUACCCUGGUAGUCCACGCCGUAAACGAUGUCGAUUUGGAGGUUGUGCCCUUGAGGCGUGGCUUCCGGAGCUAACGCGUUAAAUCGACCGCCUGGGGAGUACGGCCGCAAGGUUAAAACUCAAAUGAAUUGACGGGGGCCCGCACAAGCGGUGGAGCAUGUGGUUUAAUUCGAUGCAACGCGAAGAACCUUACCUGGUCUUGACAUCCACAGAACUUAGCAGAGAUGGUUUGGUGCCUUCGGGAACUGUGAGACAGGUGCUGCAUGGCUGUCGUCAGCUCGUGUUGUGAAAUGUUGGGUUAAGUCCCGCAACGAGCGCAACCCUUAUCCUUUGUUGCCAGCGGUCCGGCCGGGAACUCAAAGGAGACUGCCAGUGAUAAACUGGAGGAAGGUGGGGAUGACGUCAAGUCAUCAUGGCCCUUACGACCAGGGCUACACACGUGCUACAAUGGCAUAUACAAAGAGAAGCGACCUCGCGAGAGCAAGCGGACCUCAUAAAGUAUGUCGUAGUCCGGAUUGGAGUCUGCAACUCGACUCCAUGAAGUCGGAAUCGCUAGUAAUCGUAGAUCAGAAUGCUACGGUGAAUACGUUCCCGGGCCUUGUACACACCGCCCGUCACACCAUGGGAGUGGGUUGCAAAAGAAGUAGGUAGCUUAACCUUCGGGAGGGCGCUACCACUUUGGAUCUUGGCG